UGACUAAUUUUGGAGCAUAAUCCAACACUUUCCUCUAUUGUUUUCCCUCGCUCUCUCAAAUGAACUCGCACUGUACUACCCCCGUCGUUCAUCCCUACGUCGUUCAUGCUUCCGCCGCAGUUCAAUUGGUUGAAUCAAUCAACCCCGCUGCUCCGCUCCUCAGCGUCGACCUUGCUGUUUCUUCAAUCAACAACUCCUUAGGUUUUAUUUUCUGAACUACUCGAAUUAUUUUACCAGUCCUUCCCUCCGUGCUUUCUCUCUUCUUCCCUCUCCAUCAAACUGCUUCUUUGUCGUUCUCCUCCCUCUUCAUUCUCGAUCCGCUCCAUCGAAUGCAUUUCCAGAUGUUGAGUGCAUCUACACUGUAAUUUGCAACCUUGUCACGAAGACUGAAAAUCCUGAUGAGGUUUUGGAGAUCGUGAAAGUUAUAUCUGCUAAAAUUAUCCAGCAGCCAAAUGAGAAGCCUGCUUUGCGCCUGAAGAUAUUGUUCAAUCUAUACAACCUACUUGAAAACGCAUACAGCCGUUUCUAUGUUUACUUGAAGGCCCUCAACCUGGCUGCCAGUGGUAAAGUUUCAGAGCAUGUUAUUCCUUCAGUCAAGAAUAUCGACGGUUUCUUGAAGGAAUGGAAUCUUGUAGUCCAAGAUCAGAGAGAACUUUUUCUAGCAAUUUUCAAUCUUUUAAAAGAAAGCAAAAGUGUGAUUUGCUGAACAUGCCGUCAAUAUCACAGCUAGAAAAUGAUGCUAAGUACUCAAUGUUAUAUCAACUACUGAAGAUUUUCUUGACUCAGAGGCUUGAUGCUUACGUAGAUUUUGAGGCAGCAAACUCUUCCUUGUUGAAGAGUUAUGGCUCCUCAAAUACUACAAGCCGGAAGUGCUUAGCGUGGUCAGUGGUAUUGAUGGUGUAGUGAUGAUAAUGGAGUCUGCUUAUAUCUUAAGCAUAUGUGGGUGGAAGGACUUGGAUUUAGCAAGGAAGGGACUCAGUGCAAAUCUCACAUCAGCUUCUGUGUCUUGACCCUUCCACCAAUUUAUAAACCAUUAUUGUCUCCACUUGUUAUCAUAUCAAGUUAUUAACGUCUAAUAGUGCAAGUUAGUGGAACGGCAGGAAUUGGUGCAAUGCCAAGAAAUGGGUGAAUUCAAAGAAAUGGGCAAGUGCUUGGUGCUAGUGAGGAAGAUAACACUUUUGGUUGGGAUAACAAGCAUGUUGGUGCUUGAAUUCUCCUCUCUGAGUCCUUCCUUGUUCAAAAAAUGCAAGCACUUCAUGAGUACAAAAGCCAUUCUGAUAAUUUCAUAUGCUCACUCAUCCCUGGUGCACCUUUCUCUACAGCUCAAUACACCCCAGGGGGACUUUUGUUCAAAGAUGGAUGAUGACAUCAUGCAAUAGCCAAUAUGUGAUCUCAACUUCAUUCCUUCUCUUAACCUAUGCCAAAUACCUUAAGCGUUCUAGCAUGACUGUCUCUUGUAGUGGCACUAUUAUCACCUCCAGGACACUCAGAACUAUUGCCAAAAAAUAGGCUGGAUAUACCUUGACUGGACGCCCUCGUGGUGGGGAGAUACUUUUGGUACAUCAUGAGUUAUGACUUACGGCUGUCCUUGCGUCACAUAUAUGCAGAUGAGGUUGAGCAACUGCGUCAGCUGCAGCAAGAGAAACCCCACUCUAGCAACAGAACUGACCAACACGAGGAGCAAAUUGUAAACAUUACUCGUAGCCCGUUUGUAUCCCGAGGGAAAUUUACUGAAUCACCCAUGAGAAUGACUAGGAAACGUGCCAGACUUGCUUUUGAGAUUGAUUCUGCCUGAAACAAUGUGUUAGUUGGUCUUCUUGAGCUAUCAACUGGGAGGGGAAUAUCUUCAGAUCAACCAAAAAUUGAUGUUCCAAUUGCAAAUGCACAGUCAGAGUGCUGUCAGAGUAACCUGGACAAAGAAGGUGCGUAGGUCUAUGAAAUUACCCUACCGUUCAAGUUUAGAAACUAUUGUCAAUUUGCAGAGAUCCUAGGAGUACUUGCUAACUAACAUGUAUACUUUGAUUAGUUCUUACUAGUGUUGUUGUUUAAUAUUAAAGAUAACGUUUUUUUUAUUAAUGUAUUAUGCUUGUUGUUGUAUAGCUUGACGCAAGAUCUGAUAAUGAUAUUGGGGAUUAUAUACUUUGGUUA